CUCUUACGGCCAUUCUCAGCUGAGUUUAACACUUACCAGCCAUGGAAUUGAAGAUUUUGUUCAUCACAAUCUUGUUUCUUGGGGCCAGUUUAGCAUUUUCUCUGCGAGAGAAGCUGGAAGAUGCUCCAAAUGAAUAUGAAGCUCAAGAACUCGAGGAAAUGAACAACGACGGACCAGAAUAUGAUCUGGAAGACCCAACCAAAGGUUAGUACAAAAACUCUAAUACAUCGAGUAUGGAAUAUUGAGACGUGCGCUUUUCUACUCCUUUCCACAUAGUUCCAUUGGAGGUAGAAAAUGUAAGGUAUCAAGUACUCAUUUUUGUCGGCAUCGUCCUAAUCCAUUUGCAACACAAGUACUUCUUGCCAUUUUCUAACGUAAGCAGGAGCUGGUGUUAGUCAUUUGACUAGAACGUAAGUGGCAUCAAGUAUAGGAUACAAUACCCAGGCAAUAUCAUGUGAUUAGGAGAUUUACAGCCGUAUCCAGCCCGCCUCCCACCACCUCCCCCUUUUCCCGGUAAAUUCCAAAUACACUGCACAAAAGAGUACAAACCAUGUUAAACGUCUAAAGAUAGGAAUCUAAUAUAUAGAGUUAGCCAAGCCUAAAAGCGGAGCUCCUGGGCCGGGUUGUUCAAAGCUGAU